AUUGAACGCUGGCGGCAUGCCUAACACAUGCACGUCGAGCGGAGCGGCGGACGGGUGAGUAAUGCCUAGGCAUCUGCCUGGUCGUGAGGGAUCACGUCAGCAAACAGGCGCUAAUACCGCAUACUAUCAUAUGAGCCUAGGUCGGAUUAGCUAGUUGGUGUGGUAAAGGCCUACCAAGGCGACGAUCCGUAACUGGUCUGAGAGGAUGAUCAGUCACACUGGAACUGAGACACGGUCCAGACUCCUACGUGAGGCAGCAGUGGGGAAUAGUGGACAAUGGGCGAAAGCCUGAUCAAGCCAGGCCGCGUGUGUGAAGAAGGCCUUCGGAGUGUAAAGCACUUUAGGUUGGGAGGCGUUACCAACAGAAUAAGCACCGGCUAACUUCGUGCCAGCAGCCGCGGUAAUAC
rnacentral:rRNA from 1 species